rnacentral:lncRNA from 1 species
AAGAGGUGGACUCGAAGAGAGGAGAAUGAAUUGGAAAGCCAGCAAGAAUGUGGCUCUUACUCCUCUGUGAAAUAUUUGCAGGAACGAGCCUGGAGACCAGCAGGUUCAGGAUGGAAAGCUGGAAAGAAUUCUUUCCUAAAACUUAAGUUUUAGAGAAAAAUAGGCAGCCAGUCCCAACCACCCAAAGGCGUCCAAAGCCAUGUUUGUUCUGGGAAGGCCAAGGCAUGGGAGGAUGUUAACUUGGGCUAUCAGCAGGAUUGAAGGGCAGGGUGACCUUGGUACGCUCUCAGGGCCUGUGUUUCCAAGUCGACAAACUGUUCUGAGCUUUUCCAUGAAACGAGUGAAGCCCUUUUCAUACCUCCUUCGUGUUCCAGAAUUCUUGCCAUCGAUGUUCCAAAGGAUCUGUGAUAGAUUUAUGUCUAGCCUUAAAUGGGACGAGUUGUAACAUUCAGAAUUAUUUUAUCUUUCUGAGACCUGCUAUUAUUGUGAGACCCUAGACAUGCUUUGCUGGGGUUAGGGUGAGGGUACUCCUAACGAGGGAAGGAAAAAGAAACGGCUUCAAGGCAAUCCAUGUGGGUCAUUACAUGCACACUUGUUCCAUCUUCCAUUUGUGCCUGCCCAAAGCGUUCUAGAACUGACCGGACCUGAGAGGCUGUCUCAUUAGAACUAAGAGAAGGUAUUGUUGAUGAUGUCUUAUAUCCAUGGAAGAAUUCCCUGGGCAUUCCCUCUGAUGCUGCCUGGGAUACCUACAUUGCUCAAAGUACAGUUUCUUUAUGAAUAGGGAUGAAACAUCGCAUUGGGGUAUCUAUUCUUCCAUGGUUGGUUUGAAAUAGCCAAGCAGAAGUGCCAUAGAAAUUUGCCAACAAAAUAAGCAUCUAACUGAUAGUGUCGUCCUUCUACAUGGAACAAAUCUGAUGGCAUGUCACUGAAAUUUUCCAACUGGGCCACCUUGAUGCCCGUGCUAAAGGACUGCUGGGUGUUUAUAAGAUAUAAAAGAAGAUAUUUAGUGUGUGUUUAUUUGAAACAUUUUACAUUUUUACUCUACUUCUUUAACCUCUGUUAUGGUUAUAGCUAGCUCGUGUACUGCGUAUAAAUGUAUGCAUCUGUAUUCGCCAUCUACACCAAAAUAAACCUUUGAAAUUAUUGCCAGGCAGAAUUAAUGAGCUCAGUUCUAACAGCGCAAAGAAUAUCUUCAUACUACAGGUAAAACAAACAGCUUCUCCCUUCCCUUCUUCUGCACAGAAUGGCUCUACGAAGUCUGCCUGCAAAAUUACGUCUUUUAGAAAACCAAGUAGCUGGCUGUUUUGUGAGCAGGGAGGAUUUCAGGACGAACCACAAACAAGCUGUUUGUUUAGAUUUUAAGGUUGACAGUUCAUUUACACGUAUGCCCCAUAAGUAUUCUAUAACAUAGUCCUGAAAAAGCACUGAAGAAAAAAAAAAAAAAAAACACAAGGUCUCCGCUGGGGCCACAUCAUGGGAAGGAAUUAACUCUUAACUCUGCCUUCCAGAAACAAAUUAAGAGGAUGUACUUUGCAAUAAUUCAGAUCUCACAGGUAGGCCCCCAAUGUCCAGCCCCGCUAUUUCAAAUCGGGCAUGUCUGAGUUAGGUGUGUGGAUUUCCAUACAGAGCUCACUGGAACAGACCAUUUCUCAGGUUCCAAGACGCUGGCCUUGUUAAUAUUUCAUUUAGAACAUACUGUGGAGAGUGUCUCAUUUAUAUUACUUCCAUAAUUAAUGGUGAUAGCUUAGGCACUGCCUUUACACAGAGAGAUCUCUUCACAGUGGUCGAUGGGUAAUGAGAAACAAUAGAUAUUUCAUUCACCAGCAGCGUGUUGCUAGUUAGUAGGAAAUGAUCGUGUGUGCUGUUGCUUUAAUUGCCCGGGUAAAUAAUUCUGCCUCGGUGUUAGUGAGCAUUUUAAAGCACUUGAUGCCAAUAGACUAGAAACAAACAAAAAUUAACCUUGAUUAUGCAACACCUUAGCAUAGAAAGUUACAAAGGUAUGUCUUUUUUAAAGUUUGCAUUCUAUCAUGCUGCUAUUCUAGGCAAUUUCAGGUACUUUUAUAAUAUGAAGGCAUGUACUUGAACUCGUUUGUUAACAGAGGGGAAAAAACUCUCUCAAACUCUUUAAAGCUGAAUAGAAAUUAAAGAUUUCUUCCUAG